AAAAUAAUGAUAAUUUGAUAUUUUUCAUUUCACUGGUUUAAGAUGUUCGACUUUAAGCUGAGAGUUCUGAGUAAUCUUUCUGUUUCAACAACUUUCUGUCUUUUGACUGUUUCUUCCCAUAACUUUCUCAUCUUUACUAGACAAUUAAGACAAGAUCUGAUUUGAGAGCUCAAAUGUCCACUUGUCCUUUUGUUAGGAUGCAUUCCUUCACUUAGAUAUGCAAUUCAAUUUGAUUGCUUAUAGAUAACUUUGUUCAAAAGAGGGAAGAGUACCUUAAAUUUAUACAAACUUCUUUGGAAUACAGCAUAUGUUUAUGUGAUUCUGUGGAAUCUCUAUGUGGUGUUACAUAUUGCUGGCAGAUACACAGAAAUGGAAGCCAGAAGUAACAUCCAGCUCCUGGUACCACUAAUAUUCCUUGGUGUCCUCUGCUCACAAACACAUGAAAUAUAUUCUACAUCGAAGAUGAGCAAAAAAACAGAGUCUGAUGACAUGGAUGUACAGGUUCAACCUCAAAGUGCAUUAAAAAUAGAAAAUGACUUUCAGCCAAUUUCAUUACUUCAAAAUAAAGAAUCUCAUUAUGCGAAUCCUAGAAUCAUAAAGAGGUCAGUGAGCAAAGAAGGGCAAAUUGCGACAAAAAAUGACUUUGAUGAAAAAGAGUUUGUUAAAAGAGGAAAGUGA
rnacentral:lncRNA from 1 species